GAGAAGAAAUCGAUUCAGGACUCCUUACAGCACCCAAACUACUCCAGAAAUUGAUUCAGGACUCCUCACAGCACCCAAACUACUCCCUGAACCAUCAGAUCAAGCCUGACACGUCUUUCAUUUAUUUGAUCAUGCAGUUACCGCAGGAAGCAUGUGUGAAACGCCUUCGAUCCACCAUGGAUCAUGAGAAGUAUAGGAGAAACAUCACCCGAUCCAUGCGGCUCCCCAU
rnacentral:lncRNA from 1 species